rnacentral:rRNA from 1 species
GAUCGAUGGCUCAGGAUGAACGCUAGCUACAGGCUUAACACAUGCAAGUCGAGGGGCAUCAUGAAGUUUGCUUGCAAACUUGAUGGCGACCGGCGCACGGGUGAGUAACGCGUAUCCAACCUUCCCUAUAGUAGGGGAUAGCCCGGCGAAAGUCGGAUUAAUACCCUAUGUUGUUCACUGAGGACAUCUGAUAUGAACCAAAGGUUUACCGCUAUAGGAUGGGGGAUGCGUCUGAUUAGGUAGUAGGCGGGGUAACGGCCCACCUAGCCGACGAUCAGUAGGGGUUCUGAGAGGAAGGUCCCCCACAUUGGAACUGAGACACGGUCCAAACUCCUACGGGAGGCAGCAGUGAGGAAUAUUGGUCAAUGGACGAGAGUCUGAACCAGCCAAGUAGCCGUGCAGGAUGACGGCCCUAUGGGUUGUAAACUGCUUUUAUCGGGGGAUAAAGUGCACCACGUGUGGUGUUUUGUAGGUACCCGAUGAAUAAGGACCGGCUAAUUCCGUGCCAGCCGCUGC